CCUACGGGAGGCAGCAGUGGGGAAUAUUGGGCAAUGGGCGCAAGCCUGACCCAGCAACGCCGCGUGAAGGAAGAAGGCUUUCGGGUUGUAAACUUCUUUUCUCAGGGACGAAGAAAGUGACGGUACCUGAGGAAUAAGCCACGGCUAACUACGUGCCAGCAGCCGCGGUAAUACGUAGGUGGCAAGCGUUAUCCGGAUUUACUGGGUGUAAAGGGCGGGUAGGCGGGAAAGCAAGUCAGAUGUGAAAACCAUGGGCUCAACCUGUGGCCUGCAUUUGAAACUGUUUUUCUUGAGUACUGGAGAGGCAGACGGAAUUCCUCGUGUAGCGGUGAAAUGCGUAGAUAUGAGGAGGAACACCAGUGGCGAAGGCGGUCUGCUGGACAGCAACUGACGCUGAGGCGCGAAAGCGUGGGGAGCAAACAGGAUUAGAUACCCCGUGUAGUC
rnacentral:rRNA from 1 species